rnacentral:misc_RNA from 1 species
CAACCCUCGAGCACCGCUCGGCGUUGGGGGAGCGGCCCGCGCGCCGCCCCCCGAAAUGCAGUGGCGACCUCGCCGCGUCCACCCCUGCGCAGUAGCUCUCCCGAGAACCUCGCAUCGGCGGCGCGGCGGCGGUCACGCCGUGAAACGACCCUCCAAG